rnacentral:rRNA from 1 species
UUUACGUAUUUGCAAGUUGUAACAAGGUUCCGUAGGUGAACCUGCGGAAGGAUCAUUA